rnacentral:rRNA from 1 species
UACAGAGGGUGCAAACGUUGUUCGGAAUACUGGCGUAAGCGUGUGUAGGCGGCCUCGUAGGUCGGAUGUGAAAGCUCUCGGCUCAACCGGAAAGUGCAUUCGAAACCACAAGGCUUGAGUGUCGGAGAGGAAGGCGGAAUUGUCGGUGUAGAGGUGAAAUUCGUAGAUAUCGACAGGAACACCUGCGGCGAAAGCGGCCUUCUGGACGAACACUGACGCUGAGACACGAAAGCGUGGGAGCAACAGGG